CGGCGUGUGUUUCAGUUAGUAGAGCGUUCAAAUAGCAUACGCAACUAUAUGCGAAAGGUCCUGGGUUCGAUUCCCAGCUCGUCCA